CAUCAGUAUCCUCCUGACACUGUUAACAAGUGGGGAGAGAGGAGGAGCGAAGGAAGAUCAGGGUUCAGGGACAGUUGGUUUUGAGGGUCCAGGUGCCAAGUCUAUCCCAUCAUGGUCACCCUCCCCUAUGUGGAGAGAGGUCCCUCCCACAAAAGAAAGUCAAAUUUAAGGCUAACGGUUCAGGGCUGCUCCUGGCCAAUGGGAUGGGCUCCACUGUGGGUGGAAUGGCAGUGACCCCAGAGUUCUGUCUGUUGCCUGGCACCCACUCUGCCUCAUGUGCCUAGGCAGUUGGAGGCCCUUGUGUUUGCUGACCUGCUCUGAUGCUCACUUGCCUGUCCACCCUGCUCUGACCCACCUGAUCCCCACACCUUCCUGGUUGACUUGUUAUCAUUUUGAGAGGAGAGGCCCACAUCCAACAGUGAGAGUCAGAAAGGCAGUUGGAGGCCCUCGUGGUUGCUGUCCCAUUCUGACAUCUGUUCAUCUGUCUGCCCAACCUUCUCUGACCCACUUGAUUCCCCCACCCGACUGGUUACCUUGUUACAAUUUUAAGAGGAGAGGCCCACAUCCAACUGUGAGAGUGAGAAAGGUGGUUGGAGGCUCUUGCAGUCACUGA
rnacentral:lncRNA from 9 species